rnacentral:tRNA from 1 species
GCCGAGGUGGCGGAACUGGCAGACGCGCGGGACUCAAAAUCCCGUGGGGGCAACCCCGUGAGAGUUCAACCCUCUCCCUCGGCA